UAACGGCGAGUGAAGUGGGAAAAGCUCAACUUUAAAAUCUGGCGUCUUCGGCGUCCGAGUUGUAGUCUCCAGAAGCGUUUUCUGUGCUGGUCCGUGUAUGAGUCUGUUGGAACACAGCGUCAUAGAGGGUGACAACCCCGUUCAUGCCACGGAUACCAGUGCUUUGUGAUACGCUCUCGAAGAGUCGAGUUGUUUGGGAAUGCAGCUCAAAUUGGGUGGUAAAUUCCAUCUAAAGCUAAAUAUUGGCGAGAGACCGAUAGCAAACAAGUACCGUGAGGGAAAGAUGAAAAGCACUUUGGAAAGAGAGUUAACAGUACGUGAAAUUGUUGAAAGGGAAACGAUUGAAGUCAGACGUGCGUGUUGCGAUUCAGCUCUGGUUCGCCAGAGUGUAUUUCGUAGCGUUGCAGGCCAACAUCGGUUUUCUAAGUCGGAUAAAGGUUUGAGGAAGGUGGCGCUCCAGGGCGUGUUAUAGCCUCUUGCUGAAUACGAUUUGGGAGACCGAGGAACGCAGAGCGCCGCAAGGCAAAGGGUCCGCCCUUCUUCGCUCUUAGGAUGUUGGUGAAAUGGCUUUAAACGACCCGUCUUGAACCACGGACCA
rnacentral:rRNA from 1 species